rnacentral:rRNA from 1 species
UACGAAGGGGGCUAGCGUUGCUCGGAAUCACUGGGCGUAAAGGGUGCGUAGGCGGAUGAUUAAGUCAGAGGUGAAAGCCUGGAGCUCAACUCCAGAACUGCCUUUGAUACUGAUUGUCUUGAGUUCGAUAGAGGUGAGUGGAACUCCGAGUGUAGAGGUGAAAUUCGUAGAUAUUCGGAAGAACACCAGUGGCGAAGGCGGCUCACUGGAUCGAUACUGACGCUGAGGCACGAAAGCGUGGGGAGCAAACAGG